GACCUGUCUUGGGUCAACAAUGACCUGCUUUGGGUCAACGAUGACCUGUCUUGGGUCAACAAUGACCUGCUUUGGGUCAACAAUGACCUGUCUUGGGUCAACAAUGACCUGCUUUGGGUCAACGAUGACCUGUCUUGGGUCAACAAUGACCUGCUUUGGGUCAACAAUGACCUGUUUGGGUCAACGAUGACCUGUCUUGGGUCAACAAUGACCCAUCCUGGGUCAACAAUGACCUGUCUUGGGUCAACGAUGACCUGCUUUGGGUCAACGACGAGCCAGGUUGUCCCCACGAGGCCGUUUCCAGUGACAAUGGCGACGUCCCCUGGGUCAACGAUGACUUGUCCUGGGUCAACAAUGGCCUGUCGUGGGUCAACAAUGACCUGCUUUGGGUCAACGGUGACGUGUCCUGGGUCAACAAUGACCUGCUUUGGGUCAACGGUGACGUGUCCUGGGUCAACAAUGACCUGCUUUGGGUCAACGUUGACGUGUCCUGGGUCAACAAUGACCUGCUUUGGGUCAACGAUGACGUGUUGUGGGUCAACAGUGGCGUGUCUUGGCUCAACGCUGACCGUUCCUGUCCCCACGGCGCCAUCUCCAGUCCCAAGGGGGACGCCCCCUGUCCCCCGGGUGCCGCCUGCCUGCUCGGCGGCGACUCUUGGCUCAACAUGGUCCCUCUUUGCCCCCACGGCGCCAUCUCCAGCGCCAAAGGCGAUGCCCCCCGUGCCGGCGCCGGCUUGGUUUGUGCCCACGGGACCAUCUCCAGUGACAAAGGGGGCGUCCCUUGAGUCAAUGAUGACGGGUCUUGGGUCAACAAUGGCCUGUCCUGGGCCAACAAUGACCUGUCCUGGGUCAACAUUGACCUGUCCUGGGUCAACAUUGACCUGUCCUGGGUCAACAUUGACCUGUCUUGGGUCAACAAUGACCCGUCUUGGGUCAACAAUGACUUGUCCUGGGUCAACAUUGACCUGCUCUGUCCCCACGGCGCCAUCUCCAGUUCCAAAGGCGACGCCCUUCGUGCCAACGGCGCCUCUCGACCCAACAUUGACCCACCUUGGCCCAACAUUGACCCACCUUGGCCCAACAUUGACCCACCUUGACCCAAAAUUGUCUCUUGACCCAACAUUGACCUAUUUUGACCCAACGUUGACCCACCUUGACCCAAAAUUGUCUCUUGACCCAAAAUUAUCCCCUCUUGACCCAAAAUUGACCCACCCUGAUCCAAAAUUGUCUCUUGACCCAACAUCGCCCCACCUUGACCAAACAUUGACCCACCUUGACCCAAAAUUGUCCCCUCUUGACCCAAAACUGUCCCUUGACCCAACGUCGACCCCUCUUGACCCA
rnacentral:lncRNA from 1 species